GCAGGGUUUGUCGAGACAAAACAACAGCUCUUGUCUCUAAAAUCAAAUCAUCGUAUGAAUUGGAUCGACUUUACUGUUGCUCAUCAUUUAAACUCAAAGUAUAUUGAGAUGAUUUCUUUGGAGCAAUUUUUGACAACAUUUGUAGUUGAGGCCUUUAGAAUGGAAGAAUGUAUUUCACUAAUUUUUGUAUACAUUUCUUGUUUUGUAUUUAGUGAUAAAGGAAUCUGAAUUGGGCAUAAAUUAUGUUGUAAUAUGAUUUCUUAAGCCUAGAUUAGUAGACUAAAUAUUGUAAUUACAUUUGAGUAAUUAAUAAAAAUCUAUUUAUGUUACCUUA